rnacentral:rRNA from 1 species
GAUGAACGCUGGCGGCGUGCCUAAUACAUGCAAGUCGAGCGAACGGACGAGAAGCUUGCUUCUCUGAUGUUAGCGGCGGACGGGUGAGUAACACGUGGAUAACCUACCUAUAAGACUGGGAUAACUUCGGGAAACCGGAGCUAAUACCGGAUAAUAUUUUGAACCGCAUGGUUCAAAAGUGAAAGACGGUCUUGCUGUCACUUAUAGAUGGAUCCGCGCUGCAUUAGCUAGUUGGUAAGGUAACGGCUUACCAAGGCAACGAUGCAUAGCCGACCUGAGAGGGUGAUCGGCCACACUGGAACUGAGACACGGUCCAGACUCCUGCGGGAGGCAGCAGUAGGGAAUCUUCCGCAAUGGGCGAAAGCCUGACGGAGCAACGCCGCGUGAGUGAUGAAGGUCUUCGGAUCGUAAAACUCUGUUAUUAGGGAAGAACAUAUGUGUAAGUAACUGUGCACAUCUUGACGGUACCUAAUCAGAAAGCCACGGCUAACUACGUGCCAGCAGCCGCGGUAAUACGUAGGUGGCAAGCGUUAUCCGGAAUUAUUGGGCGUAAAGCGCGCGUAGGCGGUUUUUUAAGUCUGAUGUGAAAGCCCGCGGCUCAACCGUGGAGGGUCAUUGGAAACUGGAAAACUUGAGUGCAGAAGAGGAAAGUGGAAUUCCAUGUGUAGCGGUGAAAUGCGCAGAGAUAUGGAGGAACACCAGUGGCGAAGGCGACUUUCUGGUCUGUAACUGACGCUGAUGUGCGAAAGCGUGGGGAUCAAACAGGAUUAGAUACCCUGGUAGUCCACGCCGUAAACGAUGAGUGCUAAGUGUUAGGGGGUUUCCGCCCCUUAGUGCUGCAGCUAACGCAUUAAGCACUCCGCCUGGGGAGUACGACCGCAAGGUUGAAACUCAAAGGAAUUGACGGGGACCCGCACAAGCGGUGGAGCAUGUGGUUUAAUUCGAAGCAACGCGAAGAACCUUACCAAAUCUUGACAUCCUUUGACAACUCUAGAGAUAGAGCUUUCCCCUUCGGGGGACAAAGUGACAGGUGGUGCAUGGUUGUCGUCAGCUCGUGUCGUGAGAUGUUGGGUUAAGUCCCGCAACGAGCGCAACCCUUAAGCUUAGUUGCCAUCAUUAAGUUGGGCACUCUAAGUUGACUGCCGGUGACAAACCGGAGGAAGGUGGGGAUGACGUCAAAUCAUCAUGCCCCUUAUGAUUUGGGCUACACACGUGCUACAAUGGACAAUACAAAGGGCAGCGAAACCGCGAGGUCAAGCAAAUCCCAUAAAGUUGUUCUCAGUUCGGAUUGUAGUCUGCAACUCGACUACAUGAAGCUGGAAUCGCUAGUAAUCGUAGAUCAGCAUGCUACGGUGAAUACGUUCCCGGGUCU